AAGCAAUUUGCUCAUAGCCAUAGCUUUCUUGUGAAAGUAGGAUAUUAACCCAGGUGUCUUGGUGCUGGAGAACAGAACUGGCCAGAGUCCAUCCUGUCUCCCACCGGCAUCCCAUUACGAAAUGAACACAGAAAAGGCAGGUCUGCAAUGCCAACAUCUAGUAUCUAUCCCAAAGACCAGGGAGAAAGGAAGGAAAGAUUCUGGUUCUGUCCUCUUCCCCAAGGCAAGGCUGGCUGCCCUACCAACAGAGGCAAAGAGAAGAGUGUGCAAGGCUGGCUGCCCUCCCAACAGAGGCAAAGAGGAGUGUGUGUUGAAAUAUCCAUUGAAUCCCUGAGACAACUGGAUCCUGGCCCAUUGAAUCAUAAACUCAUUUCAGAGAAGAUGAAACUGAUGUGCGUCAAAAAGUAAACUACCCACAUUUUAACUGGGCACAUUCCUGUCAAUCUGAUGAGAAUCUAUUUCAUACCCUGCUUUAGCUGGUAGUCUGUCAAGGAAAUGAGCUGAACAUGUCUGUGUACAGCUUUUGUGCCAUCCCUGGAUGAGCGAGCUGUCUGCCUCUAUGUUCUCCACAAAAUGGAAUAUAGCUGUACACCCAAGCCAAGUUAUGGAGGCUGGGAAGACCUAGAAUGUGGCAUCACUAUUUGGUAAGAACCUUCCUAUGUCAUUGUAGAGUGAGGGACUUGGGUACCACAUGGCAAGGCAUAGUACCCAAAUCCCUUUCCUUCAUAAAAGUAUUAAUGUCAUCAAAGAGGCCCCACCACCAUGAUGCCAUCUGGGGCCUCAUGACCCCAAUGCCUGAUGCCAAAGACUCCCACCUCAAAAUACUUUUUUCUUCAGCAUAACAUUUUAUUAAUUAUCUGGGAAUUUCACAUCAUGUACUCCAAUCACACUCAGUUCCCAGUCCUUCCAUGUCAGCCCCCACCCUUGUUACUUGCCCCCCAAAAGAGGAAAAUUAAAACUAAGAAUUAAAAAAAAUUAAAAAAAUUAAAAUACACAAGUCCAAUUUAUGUUACCUAUAUACUCACUGAAGCAUGGUCAGAUUCUCAGUGGCCUGGCCCUUAAAUAGAAGUGAGUCUUCCCCCUCCUGCAUCUGAAGCCAUUAAUUGCGUAGAGCUACACUUCAACAUCUACAUCACACUUUCAAAGAGUUCUCUUCAGUGGAUUCCUGUUCUAGACCAUUACUUUGGAGACAGGGGUAGGGGAUUGUCACAAAAAGCCUUCCAUGUCCCUUCGUCUCAGUUGUACACCUGCAGUCAUCAAUAUCCCAGUGUAACUAGUCCCCUUGUUCUUCAUAGUUAGUGGAAACAUGGAUCAUGGGCCUCUCAAGGUUUCUGAUAACAUCCCAGACCAUGAACAUGGCCCUCAGGUGCAGGAGGACCACAGAUCCAGACAAAGACCAGAUCACAGCCAUAAAAAUAGCCUCAGGUGGCAGCAAAGGCCACUCAGAUUAGUAUGGCCUUUGGUGGCAGCACUAUCCAUAAACAUCAACGUAGCUUCAGGCAGCAGCACAGACUGUGAACAUCUCAUGGUCUUCAGUGGUAACACAAGCCAUGGAUAUCUACCUACAGCAGAACCAUAUAUAGAUUUGAUAAGUUUCCACACAUGAACCCAGGACACAUUUAAAUCAUGGCAGUCUACAUCCUGAUCCUUCCCUUGUC
rnacentral:lncRNA from 1 species